rnacentral:rRNA from 1 species
CAAGUCGAGCGGCAGCGCGGGGGCAACCCUGGCGGCGAGCGGCGAACGGGUGAGUAAUGCAUCGGAACGUGUCCCGUAAUGGGGGAUAACGCCGCGAAAGCGGCGCUAAUACCGCAUACGCUCUACGGAGGAAAGUGGGGGAUCCGCAAGGACCUCACGUUAGGGGAGCGGCCGAUGUCCGAUUAGCUAGUUGGUGGGGUAACGGCCCACCAAGGCGACGAUCGGUAGCUGGUCUGAGAGGAUGAUCAGCCACACUGGGACUGAGACACGGCCCAGACUCCUACGGGAGGCAGCAGUGGGGAAUUUUGGACAAUGGGGGCAACCCUGAUCCAGCCAUGCCGCGUGCGGGAAGAAGGCCUUCGGGUUGUAAACCGCUUUUAGCCGGGAAGAAAAGGCGCGAGUUAAUACCUUGCGUUUUUGACGGUACCGGCGGAAUAAGCACCGGCUAACUACGUGCCAGCAGCCGCGGUAAUACGUAGGGUGCGAGCGUUAAUCGGAAUUACUGGGCGUAAAGCGUGCGCAGGCGGUUCGUUGUGUCGGUGGUGAAAGCCCCGGGCUUAACCUGGGAAUGGCCAUGGAAACUGGCGAACUGGAGUGUGGCAGAGGGGGGUGGAAUUCCGCGUGUAGCAGUAAAAUGCGUAGAGAUGCGGAGGAACACCGAUGGCGAAGGCAGCCCCCUGGGCUAGCACUGACGCUCAGGCACNAAAGCGUGGGGAGCAACAGGAUUCGCUACCCUGGUAGUC